AACGAACGCUGGCGGCAUGCCUAACACAUGCAAGUCGAACGAACCCUUCGGGGCUAGUGGCGCACGGGUGCGUAACGCGUGGGAAUCUGCCCUUUGCUUCGGAAUAACAGUUAGAAAUGACUGCUAAUACCGGAUGAUGUCUUCGGACCAAAGAUUUAUCGGCAAAGGAUGAGCCCGCGUAGGAUUAGGUAGUUGGUGGGGUAAAGGCCUACCAAGCCGACGACCCUUAGCUGGUCUGAGAGGAUGAUCAGUCACACUGGGACUGAGACACUGCCGCGGCUCCUACGGGAGGCAGCAGGGGGGAAUAUUGGACAAGUGGCGCAAGCCUGAUCCAGCAAUGCCGCGUGAGUGAUGAAGGCCUUCGGGUCGUAAAGCUCUUUUACCAGGGAUGAUAAUGACAGUACCUGGAGAAUAAGCUCCGGCUAACUCCGUGCCAGCCGCCGCCGUAAAAC
rnacentral:rRNA from 1 species